rnacentral:rRNA from 1 species
UAAGGUUGACCUCGGAUCAGGUAGGAAGACCCGCUGAACUUAA